CCUACGGGAGGCAGCAGUAGGGAAUAUUGCUCCAUGGGGGAAACCCUGAAGCAGCAACGCAGCGUGGAGGAUGAAGGUUUUCGGAUUGUAAACUCCUUUUGUUAGAGAAGAUAAUGACGGUAUCUAACGAAUAAGCACCGGCUAACUCCGUGCCAGCAGCCGCGGUAAUACGGAGGGUGCAAGCGUUACUCGGAAUCCCUGGGCGUAAAGAGCGCGUAGGCGGGAUAGCAAGUCAGAUGUGAAAUCCUAUGGCGUAACCAUAGAAAUGACGUUGAAACUGUUAUUCUAGAGUAUGGGAGAGGUAGGUGGAAUUCUUGGUGGAGUGGUAAAAUCCGUAGAGAUCAAGAGGAAUACUCAUUGCGAAGGCGACCUGCUAGAACAUAACGGACGCUGAUGCGCGAAAGCGUGGGGAGCAAACAGGAUUAGAGACCCUUGUAGUC
rnacentral:rRNA from 1 species